rnacentral:lncRNA from 1 species
CAACAAAACCAAACCAAGAGCAACAAAGAACGUCUAAGUAGAAGAGUUUCGCUAUUACCGGAACACGUACACCCCUGUCCGUGAGCAGGGAUGCGGUCCGGGGCGCAGCGGCAUCGGCGGGGGCCGCUCGCCCUCUGCCGGGGACGCGGCGCUCGGCCGCCCUGCCGCCUCCGCCCGGGCCGAGCGCAGCACAGCGCCCUGGCAGCUGGGAGGCACGCUAAGAACAGCGCCUGACAGCCCUGUGCCGUGGGCAGGGGUGCCACCCACUAGGCCAGGCUGCUCAAAGCCACAUCCAGCCUGCCUUUGAACUCAUGCCGGGAUGGGGCAUCCACAGCUUCUGUGGGCAGCCCGGUGCAGCGCCUCGCCACAUGAGCCAUUUUACCUACACCCAAUUCACACCAAAAUCUAGCGGGAGAGAAGAACAGACGAGCCUAACAAAUGCCGCAGCCAGGAAGGAAAGCAGUGUAGCUCGUAGCCGCACUGCUUUAGCGAGCUGCGGGGAGGAGAGCACCCCCAGCUUCUCGUUGCCCACUCCCGCUCCUGGCAUUGCCCCAGCGCUGUCCCUGGCAGGCCCCUGCCCCAGCACAGCCCCGCUGCCUGGGCCGGGAGCGUCUGCCCCGGAUUCCUGCAGCACACACCGCUCCUGUGAGCGACAUCUACGUGUCUGCAAUGUCUUGGGACUCAGGAGUUUAAUUAAACACCCUUCAGUUUCAUACUAUGGGGAGGAACCCAAACCAAAGACAGGGUGGAUUACUGACCGUGGUGAAAGGCAAGAAAGAUGGCUGUGGGAGACGCGCACACAGUACGGUGCUGCCCACCCUGCCCUACUAUUUGUGGCAGGGAGGCAUUCACUCCUGGCACCUUUCCUUCCCCCUACCCUGGCCCAGCAAGUGCCACAGGGCUCGGGGAGGGCUGUGGUUCCAGCACAAAAAAAAGCCCAGCCGAGGAGAAGCCGGUUUUUGGGUGCUUUCUGGCUCUUGCAGGAGAGGGGGCCCGCGGCCUGCUGCCAGGCUGGACGGCACCACGCAGCAGCAAGAACCAGGGAAAUACAAGCAGUUGUCUGUAUUGGGAUUCCUGUUUCAUCUUGGAUGAUUGUUCACCUCAGGAGUGUACUGUGGAUCCUCUUCCUUCCCAGACUGAACUACAUGUUUGGAGAAACCAUUGUGAUUUUAAAAUCUCUCAGAAAGAAUUCAAAAUGGAAAUCAGAAUGGUAA